rfam:Pterocles gutturalis contig52159, whole genome shotgun sequence.
CAAAAGGCUCUUUUCAGAGCCACCUACUGCUGCACGAAAAGGGCUG